GGGGUCGACAGGUGAGGAGAGCGGACACGGUCAGAUCCGCUCCUUGCCGAGACAUCUUGUACGUGAGUGUCCGUUACCAGUAUGAGCACGGCUACUACCGUCAUGCCGGACGCAGGAGGAGGUGCAGAAGAAGGGUCGAGGAUAGGAUGGCCGGAUGGACUGGUCAUUGCGGCGUAUUUUCUUUUCGUGUUCUCCGUAGGACUCUGGUCCUCGUAUCGCAACCGAAGUAGUAAUGUGUCAGAUUACUUCCUCGCCUCCAGAAAUAUGCACUGGAUACCCGUCGGCGCCUCUCUCUUCGCCAGCAACAUCGGGUCCGGGCAUUUCAUCGGCCUUGCGGGAUCCGGAGCUGCUUCGGGCAUCGGCGUCGCAGGGUUCGAACAGAGCGCUAUCUACAUCCUCAUGCUUCUGGGUUGGCUGUUUGUCCCGGUCUACAUGAGUUCGGGCGUUUACACAAUGCCCGAGUUUAUGAAGCUGAGAUUCGGAGGUCGUCGAAUUCGAGUCUAUCUCUCAUUCCUGGCGCUGCUGCUCUACAUUUUCACAAAGAUUUCUGCCGACCUGUACGCAGGCGCGCUGUUCAUCCAACUAGCCCUGAACAAGAAUUCCUCGGGGUGGCUUUACCUCGCCAUCCUCAUCCUGCUCGCUAUGGCAGCCGUCUUCUGCAUCGCCGGCGGGUUGUCGGCCGUCGUGUGGACUGACUUCGUGCAGACCAUCCUCAUGGUGGUGGGGGCUUUCAUCCUCAUGGUCCUCUCCUUCAAAGAGGUGGGCGGAUUAUCGAAGCUGGUGGAGGAUUACCCUUACGCGCGAGCGACCCUGCAAGCAACGGACCAUAAUAAUAAUUCCUGUGGAGAACCGUCACCGUACUACCUGUCCCUCCUGCACCCGAUCCAGCCUGGCCUGUCCGACUACCCAUGGACGGGCAUGAUCUUUGGGCUCACCAUCAACUCCAUCUGGUACUGGUGCACAGAUCAGGUGAUCGUGCAGAGGACACUGGCCAGUAAGGACAUGAUCCACGCCAAGGGAGGUUGCAUUCUGGCAUCCUACCUUAAAUUUCUGCCUCUGUGGCUGCUGGUGUUCCCGGGGAUGGCUGCCCGCAUCCUGUACCCCGAGCGCGUGGCUUGUGCAGAUCCCGCGGAGUGUACCAGGAUUUGCGGCAGCGCUGGAGGAUGCACCAAUAUUGCAUAUGCAGAGCUGGUCCUUAACCUGCUUCCUACGGGUCUGGCGGGGCUGAUGCUGGCGGUGAUGAUGGCGGCCCUAAUGUCCUCCCUCACGUCGAUCUUCAACUCCGCCUCCACGAUCUUCACCAUGGACGUGUGGGUGCUGAUCCGGCCGAAGAUCAAGUGCUAUCGGCUGCCGACCAAGCCCACGCAGGCCGAGCUUCUCUUCGUGGGCCGCGCCUUCGUGCUCGUCCUCGUCGGUAUCUCCGUUAUAUGGAUCCCUGUCAUUCAAAACACCGGCAAUUCCCAGCUGUUCCAUUAUAUUCAAGCUGUCUCCUCCUUCUUGGCGCCGCCCAUCUGCGCCGUCUAUCUGCUCGCUAUGUUCUGGAGUAGGACUAACGAACCCGGCGCAUUUUGGGGCCUUAUGAUAGGCCUCGUAAUUGGAAUGCUGCGUUUCAUCGUCGAGUUCUCCUUCACCCAACCUCCCUGUGGCUCUAGCGAUCCAGACCCCCGGCCCGCCUUUGUGAAGUUGACCGUAGGGAACGUGCACUACCUUCACUUCUCGUGUAUCCUGUGGAUCAUCACCGGCCUGGUCACUGUGGGCGUCUCCCUCCUGACGGAGCCCAUUCCAGAGGAGUGCCUGUAUCGGCUGACCUUCUGGACGCGCCACGACCCUCGCAUCAGGCAGCCGUUGGAGGAGGAGGACGACUUUGACGACGACGCCCCGGCCAAGAACGGAGGACCCGAAGCCACCGAGCAUGCUGAGAAUGCUGCCAACGGGAGCAAUGGCGCGCCGCAACAGAUGGAAGUAGAAGGUUAUGCUGAAAACGAAAGCAAAUUUCAACGAAUCAAGAAGUACCUGUGCCGCGCCAUUCCUGAAGCCGAAGAAGAGAGUCCGAAGGUCGUCCUAACUGAAAGCCAGAAGGCUGAAGAUGCUGCUGCCUUCCUUAAGGAGCCGCCCUUCUGGAGAAAUUUCGUGAACUACAACGCCGUCGUGUGUCUGGCUCUCACAACAUUUGUCUGGGGAUUCUUCGCCUAAUGAAACUCGACGUGCUAUGAGUGUGCCGAGACCCCAGUUUGCGGUUAAACUGAUAUUAGAUAGACAUAUUAGAUAGAUAAGUGUACAGUUUUAAAUAUAUAUAUAUAUAUAUGUGUAUUUUUAUACAUAGGUGUGUGUGGUAGCAUCUGCGGUGAGCUCCAUAAUAGGUACAGACAACUAAUAAAAUGUCCAGGAAUCUCGUCCGUGAAGCUUCCGUUGGCAUGUGGAACAAAGCUCCGCAUAGUAUAUAAAACAGUCCACGUGGCUUUUAAGCAUUUCGAAACGUAUCGAGCUCAGCUACAGAGAUGGAUCGAUCGCAUAUUAAUUUCUCCAUUUUAUUCAUCUCUUCGCCAGUUUCAUUUCUUAGUUUCAUUUUCUGUCUUGUCCUGAUCCAACGAAUGCAAAGUUACAAGGCCAGUAGUUAUAAAAUUUGGUUGUAAGUAACCAUUAGCUUCAACAAAGUUGAGUACCUUAACCUUAGAGCCCAUGUGAUAGAUUAAUGAAGAUUGGCAAUAUAUAUUUUGUAUUCUUGCCAUUGCCUUGUUAGAGUGAUAUUGCAAAUCAGUUUUGUGUUUACGAGGGCGCUACAGAAACUCCUUAGCGUUACAUUUGCUGGUGAACGGCACUGCUUUGUGAUUGCUGCAACGCCCGUAACCAACGUGUACUACGGACCACGGCCUUGGUAGUUGGGUGUCUCCGUUGUGCGGAGGGUUUACAAGGUACUAUGGAUCGUCCAUCUCAAGAGUAUUAGGUGUAUCUUCAAUGUAAUCAGUUCUUGGUUAUAAAUGUUUCUGUCAUCUACGCUCAGUUGCAAUAAAUAUAACAGUACAUGCACAAUGAGUCCGCAGUAGAAAUAAGCGUAAAAUGUAGUCUGUAUAAUGUAACCGAGUUGCGGAAAUAGUGACUCAUUCGUUUCUCCUCUGUUAACUGGGGAAAUUGAUGACCCUGCACCAGCGGAGGAUAUAUAUAAAGGCAAGAUCGCUGUACGUAGCAGUGGUUUCCUCCACCCGUUUCAUUGCCACGCCUCCUCAUGUAAGCGUUCUUUUACUGUACCAUAACUUCCAAUAUUUUUAUAACAGCUAAAGAUUCAUCCUCCAAACCACCUCAGUCUUGCCAAUAACCCUUCUGCAAAAUGUAGAUCUCCCUUUUGUUUUACGCAACGCCGUAUCCUUGGUAUGGAAUGGCAGUGCAUUCCAUACCAAGGUCUAUAUCAAUACUUACAAAGACCUUGUUCCAUACAGUUUCUUCAGUGCUCCUAGUGAACGCAAGACACCUAACUUGGUGAACUGAUAAAAAGACGACGUUUAAAAAUUAGGAACGAAGUUCUGUUGUACAGGAUAUAUGUGUUAUAUCAAUAGUUAUUUUUAUGUAUCAGUGUUCGCAUUUCUCAAUAAUGUGAGGAUUAUAAUAUAGUUUGUAGAUACACCCCAAAUGACAGGGACAUUGUGUAAGCAUUUCACACACAAAAAUAAGAUACCAAAA
rnacentral:misc_RNA from 1 species